rnacentral:rRNA from 1 species
AGCGUAGGCGGACCUUUAAGUGAGAUGUGAAAUACCCGAGCUCAACUUGGGUGCUGCAUUUCAAACUGGGGGUCUAGAGUGUCGGAGAGGUAAGUGGAAUUCCUAGUGUAGCGGUGAAUGCGUAGAGAUUAGGAAGAACACCAGUGGCGAAGGCGACUUACUGGACGAUAACUGACGCUGAGGCUCGAAAGCGUGGGGAGCAAACAGGAUUAGAUACCCUCGUA